GAUGAAGAACGCAGCAAAAUGCGAUAAGUAAUGUGAAUUACAGAAUUCAGUGAAUCAUCGAAUCUUUGAACGCACAUUGCGCCCGCUGGUAUUCCGGCGGGCAUGCCUGUUCGAGCGUCAUUUCAACCCUCAAGCCCCCGGGUUUGGUGUUGGGGAUCGGCUCUGCCCUUCUGGGCGGUGCCGCCCCCGAAAUACAUUGGCGGUCUCGCUGCAGCCUCCAUUGCGUAGUAGCUAACACCUCGCAACUGGAACGCGGCGCGGCCAUGCCGUAAAACCCCAACUUCUGAAUGUUGACCUCGGAUCAGGUAGGAAUACCCGCUGAACUUAAGCAUAUCAAUAAGCGGAGGA
rnacentral:misc_RNA from 1 species